rnacentral:rRNA from 1 species
GGCCCUUCGGGGUACACGAGCGGCGAACGGGUGAGUAACACGUGGGUGAUCUGCCCUGCACUUCGGGAUAAGCCUGGGAAACUGGGUCUAAUACCGGAUAUGACCUUCGGCUGCAUGGCUGAGGGUGGAAAGGUUUACUGGUGCAGGAUGGGCCCGCGGCCUAUCAGCUUGUUGGUGGGGUAAUGGCCUACCAAGGCGACGACGGGUAGCCGACCUGAGAGGGUGACCGGCCACACUGGGACUGAGACACGGCCCAGACUCCUACGGGAGGCAGCAGUGGGGAAUAUUGCACAAUGGGCGAAAGCCUGAUGCAGCGACGCCGCGUGAGGGAUGACGGCCUUCGGGUUGUAAACCUCUUUCAGCAGGGACGAAGCGAAAGUGACGGUACCUGCAGAAGAAGCACCGGCCAACUACGUGCCAGCAGCCGCGGUAAUACGUAGGGUGCAAGCGUUGUCCGGAAUUACUGGGCGUAAAGAGCUCGUAGGCGGUUUGUCGCGUCGUUUGUGAAAACUCGCGGCUCAACCUCGAGCUUGCAGGCGAUACGGGCAGACUUGAGUACUGCAGGGGAGACUGGAAUUCCUGGUGUAGCGGUGAAAUGCGCAGAUAUCAGGAGGAACACCGGUGGCGAAGGCGGGUCUCUGGGCAGUAACUGACGCU